UGCGGCCCAUCAGGUAGUUGGUGGGGUAAAGGCCUACCAAGCCUGCGACGGGUAGCCGGACUGAGAGGUCGACCGGCCACACUGGAACUGAGACACGGUCCAGACUCCUACGGGAGGCAGCAGUGGGGAAUAUUGCACAAUGGGGGAAACCCUGAUGCAGCGACGCCGCGUGGAGGAUGACGGCCUUCGGGUUGUAAACUCCUUUUGUCAGGGACAAUGGUGAUGGUACCUGACGAAUAAGCCACGGCUAACUCUGUGCCAGCAGCCGCGGUAAGACAGAGGUGGCGAGCGUUGUUCGGAAUUACUGGGCUUAAAGGGCGCGUAGGCGGUGGUGUAAGUCUGGGGUGGAAUGCUACAGCUCAACUGUAGAGCUGCCUUGGAAACUGCAUUACUUGAGUCGGUGAGGGGAAGGCGGAAUUCCUGGUGUGGCGGUGAAAUGCGUAGAUAUCAGGAGGAAGGUCUGUGGCGAAGGCGGCCUUCUGGCACUUGACUGACGCUGAGGCGCGAAAGCGUGGGGAGCAAACAGGAUUAGAUACCCUGGUAGUCCACGCCCUAAACGGUGGGUAUUAGGUGUGGGGCCUUCAUGGGUUCCGUGCCGUAGCGAAAGCA
rnacentral:rRNA from 1 species